rnacentral:rRNA from 1 species
AACGAACGCUGGCGGCAUGCCUAACACAUGCAAGUCGAACGAGACCUUCGGGUCUAGUGGCGCACGGGUGCGUAACGCGUGGGAAUCUGCCCUUGGGUUCGGAAUAACAGUUAGAAAUGACUGCUAAUACCGGAUGAUGACUUCGGUCCAAAGAUUUAUCGCCCAGGGAUGAGCCCGCGUAGGAUUAGCUUGUUGGUGAG